rnacentral:rRNA from 1 species
GACGUAGGGUCCGAGCGUUGUCCGGAAUUACUGGGCGUAAAGCGCGACGCAGGCGGUUGGUCGCAUCGGCGGUGAAAGCCCCCCGCUCAACGGGGGAGGGUCCGUCGAGAUGGGCCGACUGGAGGCAGGGAGAGGUCAGUGGAAUUCCGGGUGUAGUGGUGAAAUGCGUAGAGAUCCGGAGGAACACCAGUGGCGAAGGCGGCUGACUGGACCUGACCUGACGCUGAGGCGCGAAGGCGUGGGGAGCGAACGGG